AUGAAACACAAAAGAUGAACCCUAAUAAUUAAGAAGAACGAUUAGUUUAAGGUAGUUAAUGAAUAAACAUACAAUAUUGUAUACUCUAAUAAGCAGGUUCACCUGCUUAUGCAUAUUUUUUUCAUUGUAAUCCUUCAAUGCAAGCUUGCAAUGGGCAAUGAGAAUAGGGAGUUCAUCUUCAUCGGUCCAAUAACAAACCUUUUCCCUCCAUCAUUUACCACCAAAUUUGAUCCAUGUAAUAUGAUCAAGAUUUAGAUGCAAGGCAGACCCUAUGGUAUGUAGGUAGGACAUGACUAAAUCAAAUUUUAAAAUGAAAUCUUUUAUAACUAAAAGUAAAAUCAUGGGCUUGUUUUUAAGUAGAUGUCAGACCUAUUAUUUGGAAUAGAAAGUCAGAUGAGCAAUUUAGUUUUAAUAGCAGACCCAAAUUGAUUGUAUUAUUUUAAUAUACUACACUUUCAUGUAAUAUAAUUAAGAUUCAGAUGCAGGGUCAGCCCAAUGUGUAUUUUGGAGUUGAUUAAACUUAGAAAUACUAAUUAAAUAAAGGAAAAUGCUUAGAUACUUAUUAUAUUCUUUUAGUUACACAUCCACAUAAAGGUGGGAAAUGGCUUCUUGUAUUGAUGAGUAUUAUCUAUUUAACAAAUUACAGAUUUGGCAUAAAUAUUUAUUUGAUGCAAAAAAUUUAUUCGCAUUCAUUUGAUUGAGUAUAGUGAGUGAGGACAAUGAAUUCAGAUCUUGCGUUAUAUGAAAUAGAACUUCGUUGCAGACGUGAAGAAUCGAGAUUUGGAGGUUUUGUUAUUGGAGAAAUAGAGACAGAGAAAAGGUUAUUUGAUGUGAAGGCAUG